AACAUACUGCUGGGCCCAGCAUGCAGAUGAUGUCACUCUUCUGCCUGGGUCCUGCAUAAAAAGGGAAUUACGACAUAUUGCUGGUCCCAGCACCCUGAUGAUGUGACUCUCCUGCAUGUGCUGGAGCCACAGAUGGUAUUUUGACGUAUCUUGGGCCCAUUCUUGCUGGCCUAUUUUUGGAUAUAUUACACAAAAUGUAUGACAAAAUUCUAAAUAUUUAAAAGACCUUGGCUUCCUGACCAUUGACUCAGCAUAUGCAUGGUCCUACCUGUUGAAUGGCUGUCUCUGUUUAAUUCACCAUCUUGAAAAAAAUAUUUAAAAUUAAGAUGUUUUCAAGAACAUACAGCUAAAUCCUGAGGAAUCUAUGUUCACUGCAGAAAUAAACUGACAACAGACAGCUUAACAGAAGAAGAAAAACAUACAACCUUAUUAACAGACAUAAACAUGGGAGCCAGCCAAAAAAUGAGACUGCAAGAAGAGCCAGAUUCUUGACGAUUAAAGAGCACCCUCUUCUCAAGGGAGAGAGAGAUGGAGAUGUAGAUUGUAGGGAAGGGGCGACAAACUGCAGGAAGGUGAAAAAAAGAACUGCACUGCAUCUCACGAGGAAGAGAAAACCCUCCAAAUAACAAAUAAGUGUGUCUGGACAGGGAAUGAAAAUUGACCUGAAAGCCGUCUUUACUUCAUGGAGAUCUAUAAAAGCUGAAGUCCAAAAGGUGGCGAUGAAGCUCGGCAAUUACAAAAUCUACAGAAAAAGAAAGACUGCCAAGAAAGAGUAAGAUAUUCAUUGACACAAAUACUGUUGUAUGAACCAUGUCCCAAUGAAAGUAGACAACUGCAAUGUCCUUGAGAAUAUUUUCUGCAAUAUUUGUGGCAAAUUCAGAAGCUGAGAAUGAAAGAACGUGAGUGAGCAGAAAAGAAGAGACAGCUGUCAGAGGCAGGGGAAAAUGUAAAAUUGAUUAUGGAAAAAAUACACAUCUACAUGUGAGUUCA